GACGGAGGAUGCAAGUGUUAUCCGGAAUCACUGGGCGUAAAGCGUCUGUAGGUGGUUCGAAAAGUCCACUGUUAAAAAUCGAGGCUUAACUUCAAAGAUGCCGUGGAAACUUUCAAACUAGAGUAUGGUAGGGGUAGAGGGAAUUUCCAGUGGAGCGGUGAAAUGCGUAGAUAUUGGAAAGACCACCGAUGGCGAAGGCACUCUACUGGGCCACUACUGACACUGAGAGACGAAAGCUAGGGGAGCAAAUGGG
rnacentral:rRNA from 1 species